GGGCCUGUAGCUCAGAGGUUAGAGCCGGCGGCUCAUAAUCGCUUGGUCGUGGGUUCGAUUCCCACCUGGCCCA
rnacentral:tRNA from 1 species